GAGGAAUCCAGUCCUUUACGGUGGUUUCAUCGCACGCUGAUCAGGUUUCCACAAAUACGGUCGGUAGCGCAAAUACGUGUCACUCUGUUGAAUGACAAGGAAGUAAGACAACGAUAGCGGCUAUAGCUCGACCGAGCUGGUGUUAAGACAAGACUGUGCAGUCGUGUCUUGGAAAUCAGAGGAAAGACAGCUGGGAACCCCAUCAUGCUGGAGGUGUCUUUUCCGCAAUGUUGACGUUUCCAAGGGUGCGACUGCAGCAGAGCAGAGGGCCAGCAAUUCUGACACCUGCAGCCUUCUGAAGGGAUUUCGAAAGCCAUCUGUGACCCACCUGGCUAUUGAAUCAGCAACCCUCCAUGUCUCGGGCUCGGGUCCCAAACCACGAAACCACAUCUGGGCCUCAUCUGAUCAUCUGAAUCACUGACACUUGUCCACACCCUUAUUCCCAUG
ensembl:lncRNA